AGCAGAUUUAGCAGAGAGAGGAGGCAGAGGCUGGGAAUGGGAGCAGUAAGCUGUCGGCAGGGGCAGCACACCCAGCAGGGGGAACACACCCGGGUGGCUGUCCCUCACAAGCAGGGUGGCAACAUCCGGGGUCCCUGGGCCCGAGGCUGGAAGAGCCUCUGGACAGGUUUGGGAACCAUCAGGUCAGAUCUGGAAGAACUCUGGGAACUACGGGGGCACCACUAUCUGCACCAGGAAUCCCUAAAGCCAGCCCCAGUACUGGUAGAGAAGCCUCUGCCAGAGUGGCCAGUGCCUCAGUUCAUCAACCUCUUUCUACCAGAGUUUCCCAUUAGGCCCAUUAGGGGGCAGCAGCAGCUGAAGAUUUUAGGCCUCGUGGCUAAAGGCUCCUUUGGAACUGUCCUCAAGGUGCUAGAUUGCACCCAGAAAGCUGUAUUUGCAGUGAAGGUGGUGCCCAAGGUAAAGGUCCUACAGAGGGAUACCGUGAGGCAGUGCAAAGAGGAGGUUAGCAUCCAGCGACAGAUCAACCAUCCCUUUGUACACAGCUUGGGGGACAGCUGGCAGGGAAAACGGCACCUUUUCAUUAGUGAGUGACUGGACUCUCU
rnacentral:lncRNA from 1 species